rnacentral:lncRNA from 1 species
UGCAGAAGCCAUCUAGUAAAAUCACAUAAGUCACCAAAUUUGGAUGCGGGCCAUAAGAACACAUCUCCUUGAAAAGAUUGAGAGCUUCCUUAGGUCUUCCUAAUUGGCACAGACCUUGCAUAAGAGUGCUGUAGGUGACAGUAUCAGGAUUCAAUGCUUUAUGAUACAUUUCAGCAAGGAGUGAUUUUGCCUCAUCCAUCCUUCUACUUUUGCAAUAUCCAUUGAUCAAGAUGUUGUAACUAUGUGCACCAGGUGCACAACCCUUGCGAAUCAUGAUUUCAAACACCUUCUUGGCCUCAUUCAUUAGGCGCUGCAAACAGUACCCAUCCAUCAAAGCAUUGUAAGUGGAAAUAUCUGGCUCUACACCUUUUUCAGUCAUUGUUUCAAAGACAAGCCGAGCUUCUGAAACCAUUCCUUCUUUGCACAGCCCAUCAACCAAAAUAGUGAGGGUCACUGUAUCUGGCAUAACAUCCCUGCCAACCAUUUCUUUGAACAAUCUAGUAGCUUCAUUCAGUUGUCCUAAAAUGCAAAAACCAUGGACCAUGCAGUUGUAAGUAAAAACAUUUGGUGGAAUGCCCCGAUCCAGCAUUUCAGAUAAGAAUUCCAUGGCGUCAUUUACUAGCCUAUCUUUGCAAAGGUUGUCUAUGAUUGUAUUAUAUGUCACCACAUCUGGCUUGCACCCAUUUGGUUCCAUCUUCUUGAACACGUGAACAGCCACAUUUCUGUUGCCAGAUUUGAACAAACCUUUGAUUAUAGUAUUAUAGCUAAUCACAUUAGGCUCAUGCCCUCUCCGUAACAUCUCAUUAAACAAUCCUCCUGCCUCUUUAAUCUUUCCCUCAUUGCAGAGACCAUUAAUGAGUGCAUUGAAUGUGCUAGCAGUGGGAUGAAUACCCAGUUUGAACAUUUUACCCAAGAUAGAGACAGCAAAAUCAACAUGGUUCAAGCGACAAAGGCAGUUAAUCAAUACAUUUAGAGAAUAAACAUUGUGGGUAACACCGAACAAAUCCAUUUGAUUGCACAAAGAGACAACAGUUGAAUACUGUUUCUUUUUAGCGAAGGACCCUAGGAAUUUGCCAAAUUCCGCAACAGAUGGCCUAGGAUUCAUGCGGACCAUGCGAUAGAAUGAAGCCAAAGCAUCAUCAAUACUGAUGUUAGUGCUAUUAUUACUAACAAACCCACCAUUGUUUUGAGGCAAAGAAGGUUUCCUAGUACAAGCAGAAGUGGAGAUGUGGUGAUGAUUGAAGAAUAAGAAAGAAGAAGGAAAGAUACCCAUUUCCAUAUGUUGUUGAAGAAUCCGAAAAUCAGAAGCAGUAGCUCUAUAAGCGCUUUUCCGCGUGAACAUCAUCAUUGUUAGGUUAAAAAGCUGCGUUGUCUCUGACUGUUCCUCACCUCCUUCAAAGCCGAAGAUGAAAGCUUUUCCAAUCUACUCUCUGUCUCUUUCUUAAGCUAUACACUUGUUGCUUUGACUUUCUAUCAUUUCCCCUUGAACAAAUCAUAUUGCAAAACAAAUUUGGAGUCCUUAAAUUGUUAUCAUAUAUAUUAAAAGAGUUUUUUUUAAUUGUAAUAAUAUUUAUUUUUAAAGUAUAUUUUAUUUAAAAAUAUAUUAAAAUAAUUUUUUUAUAUUUUAUAAAAUUUAUUUUUUACUUCACUUGAUUAAAACGAUAUAAAAUUAUUUAAAAAAAUUAAAAUAAAAAAAAUAAGAAUCAAUUUAAAAAAAUACUUUUAAAACACAAAAACAGAAUGUUUUUAAAUAAGUAAUCUAUAUAUGGAAAGUUUUAUGUUGUGGUUUUAGUAAUUUUUGAUAUUUUAUUUGUUAUGUUUUGUGGUUUGUUUUGAUAAAAAAAAUUGGAUAUAAGAAAAAUAAAGAAAAUAAAAUCUAUGAUCCACAUAAAAUAAUAAGAAUAUUUUCACUUGUGAAUUAUCUCUUAUACUUGUAUCUUUUUUUUUAAAGUAGAUUCAGAGUAAUUAAUAAAUAAAUACUAGUUAGUCUCCGAGCACAAUAAAUUUUAUUAUGUAUGUAAUGUUUUAUAUGAACAAUGUUAUUUUUUUUAUUUUGAUUAUUGAACUUUUUUAAUUGUAAUUUCAUCCUCUAAAAUUAAAUUAGCAAAUUUUUAUAUGUUCAGAUUUCUUUUGAUUUGUAUUUUUAUAUAUAUACAAAAUGUAUAAGGAUAUUAUGGUAAUGAAUUAACACAAAUUAUAUUGAUCUCUUUUAAGCAUUAUUAAACUAAAAAAAAACAUAGAAAAAUAUCAAUCAUUAUAUAAAAAUAAAUGGAACAUUAAUUAAUAUUUAAAUAAAAAUAAUUAACAUAAAAGAAAAAAAAAAGAUCAGAUGACAAUGACCUUAGUCUUUCAUAAAAAAGCCUACCCCAGCGUGACUAAUAUUUUAUUUUUUUAUCUUAUUUUUGGAGCAAAUAUAAUAUUGUUUACUCUAGUUAUUUUUUAUUGUAACAAACAACAAGUCAUCUGUUAUGAUAGGUGAUUGUCAGCUACUAAAUUGUUUUUUGAUCACCUCCUAUGAUAAAAAAAUCAGUGUUUAAGUAUUUGGAUUCUAAAAAUUCAUUUUUCUAUUUGUUUUUACCUGAAAACAUCUAAAACAAUCUCACAUGAAAUGCAAUAAACUCGUUCCUAGCUCCAAAACACACUCUAAUCACUUUAAAAAAAUAAUUAAAUGAAAAAAAAAAUAAUGAACCGGAUCAAUUUUUUUCCGGCAUGGUUAUAGAAAAAAUCACCUUCAUUGAACUUUUCUCAAAAAGACGAACCUAUUGAUACAAAUAUCAAUAUUUUUUAUAGUUGGAAUAUGAUCAUCUGAGUAUUUUCUCUCUUUUUAAAAUUUUUGGAUUGAUUUUCUCUCUCCUUUCUUAAUAUAUAGGUAGUGUUUGAUUAUUUUUUCAAGGCAGAAGAGACAUAGGAAAAGAAGAAAGAAAAGAAGACGAAGAGAGAAUUGUGUUUGACAAUGAUGUAAGACAAACCGAUUAUAUUUAUAUUAUGUUUGGUUAUGGUGCACACGAUAUAAGAAAAUAUGAAAAAAUCUAUUUUAUUCUUAAUGUGUAUUGUUGUUAAAUUUACAUAUUUUAAAAAAUAUUUAGAUUUUUUUUUAAUUUAGUUUAUAUUAAGUGAUGAAAUUAAUAAUGUUAUAAUAACUUUAGUUACAAAACUAGGACUAAUCUAACAGGUUGACCCGAAAUCAGGUCAACCUGGGAUCUAGACUGUCUGAGUUUAAGAAGAAAUAGAUAAAAGAUUGACUCAACCUAACCUGAUAAAAAACUCAUGUCAACCCGAGAUAGAACAUGAGUCAAAAACUCGUUGAAUUUUUUGAAAAUUAUUUUUGGUCGAAAGAAGGUUGCUUAGAUUAUUUUUUUAAAAAAAUUGGGUUAAAUGAGUUAACUAUCCCGACUCGUGACCUGAAUCUUAUCUUGAAUUAAGUUUUAAGAUUAUAAUAAUUAUUAUUUUUAUUUAUAUAGUGACUCGGACCAACCCAUGAUAAACAACUGAUUCAUGACUUGGGCCUCACCCUGGUCAAUCAUGAGUCUUUUUCCACUCAACCCCGUGACUCUUCCUCAACUCUGGGUGUCUUGAGUCCAGCUUUGCCUGAACCAUUUAUGAAAGGAACCCAAUGGGCAAUGGACCGUUUUUCUUUUUAUUUGAAGCCCAGGACUAUAUACCCUUGUUGACUUUCACUCGCUUUCUUGUUCAAUAUGACCACGAGUCAAGGGGAAAGAGGGAGUCUGGGGUAUAAAUAGUGUUCAUUGAACAACAUGGAUAAAUGGAGUGUGUUGGUGAAACACAAUGAUAUAAUUAAACUUUCCAUUGGCAGAAUAUCUGCUUGUAAAUUAUGAAAUCUAAUAAUAGGAUUGGUGGCAAUGCAGGAUAAACAGCUCUGGAUCAGCAGCAGAUUGAACUUCUUGGUUUCGUGCUUGUCUUUGGAGAGGGGGGACGGGAUGGCAGAAGAAUAAAAAACCACACCCAUCCCUGGUUCCCCAUGGAGAAAUGAAGUUUCUGAUGAUGGAUUGAGCUCGUACAUACGUUUUCCAAUACCCUGCAGUUGCAUUGAUAGAAAAGUUAGUUGAUCACUGCUGGUUUCCCGAUCUGAAGUUCCAAGAUGUUAAUUGUUCGAGAAGCCAGCUUGUAGAUCAUCAUGAUCUUAUUUAAGCAAUUAAGUGGCUUGUAGAUCAUCAUGAUCUUAUUUAAAUAUUUUUUUAGAUAUCCAUAGAAGAUAGCUUUGAAUAGUUGGUAAAAAAAUCGGGUUAAUAAGAUGUUAGUGAUAAGUAGUUCAAGUUAAGCAUGAAAGUCAGAAAAAAUAUUUAUCCAAUUGUUAAAAAAAUUAUUUUGUAUAAUGAUAUUUAAAAAUAAGAAUUUUGGUAUCUUUAUUGAGUUAUUAAAAUUGUCAAAAUUACAUUAGUCAUUGACUUAAAUUUCUUUUUCUUGCUCAUGAAUGGAUGAUUCUAAAUUUGAAAAUUUAACUUCUCAAUUAUUCGAUCCUAUCUUUUAAUAUCAGUGAUGUAACAACAAUUUUCUAACAAUCCAGUGCCAAAAACAGAUCCCAGGAAGCCACCCUUGAUGUUGCAGAUCAUUCAUUAAAGUUAAAGAACAGAGUAUCGUUAUAACUCACAAGAGGCUCAUCAGCCUACAACGUCACUUGAUAGGAAAAUGUCACUUUAUUUUUCUACCUGGGGAGCUUCCACGCAUAAAUUGGCUUAUGAUUUCAUCUUGAGAUUCUAAAUCCAGUAACAUCUGAACUGUAGACGAAUCCGCCGAGAAUCUUUUACCAACCAUUUCAUCAAUAAGUCGUAUAGCACUUGAUGAGUCCUGAUUUUGAAGAAAUCCUUGAAUGAUAACAUUAUAUGAGCAACUGUUUGGCAAGAAGCCAUCAUCUUCCAUUUUUCUAAAUAAAUCGUAUGCUUCAUCUGACAGCCCUUCUUUCAGCAGUCCCUUGAUCAUGACAGUGUAUGUCCGUAUAUCAGGUCGUAUUCCAUCCCCAAAAAGCUUGGAAAAUAAUUCCUUCGCAACUUCAAGCUUCCCAGCGAUAAACAUGCCUUCAAUAAGGAUAGUAUAAUGGACAAUAUUAGGUUCUAGAUUCUUCUCUUGCAUUGACUUGAGCAGUUUUAAUGCCUCAUCCAAAUGCCCAUGUUUGCAGAAGCCAUCUAGUAAAAUCGAGUAAGUCACCAAAUUUGGAAGCAGGCCAUAAGAACACAUCUCCUUGAAAAUAUUUAGAGCGUCCUUAGGUCUCCCAAAUUGGCACAGACCUUGCAUAAGAGUGCUGUAGGUGACAGUAUCAGGAUUCAAUGCUUUAUGAUACAUUUCAGCAAGCAGUGAUUUUGCCUCGUCCAUCCUUCUACUUUUACAAAAUCCAUUGAUCAAGAUGUUGUAACUAUGUGCACCACGUGCACAACCCUUGCGAAUCAUAAUUUCAAACACCUCCUUGGCCUCAUUCAUUUGGCGCUGUAAACAGUACCCAUCCAUCAAAGCAUUGUAAGUGGAAAUAUUUGGCUCUACACCUUUUUCAGUCAUUGUUUCAAAGACAUGCCGAGCUUCUGAAACCAUUCCUUCUUUGCACAGCCCAUCAACCAAAAUAGUGAAGGUCACUGUAUUUGGCAUAACAUCCCUACCAACCAUUUCUUUGAACAGUCUAGUAGCUUCAUUCAGUUGUCCUAAAUUGCAAAAACCAUGGACUAUGGAGUUGUAAGUAAAAACAUUUGGUGGAAUGCCCCGAUCCAGCAUUUCAGAUAAGAAUUCCAUGGCGUCAUUUACUAGCCUAUCUUUGCAAAGGUUGUCUAUGAUUGUAUUAUAUGUCACCACAUCUGGCUUGCACCCAUUUUGUUCCAUCUUCUUGAACACGUCAACAGCCAUAUUUCUGUUGCCAGAUUUGAACAAACCUUUGAUUAUAGUAUUAUAGCUAAUCACAUUAGGCUCAUGCCCUCUCCGUACCAUCUCAUUAAACAAUCCUACUGCCUCUUUAAUCUUUCCCUCAUUGCAGAGACCAUUAAUGAGUGCAUUGAAUGUGCUAGCAGUGGGAUGAAUACCCAGUUUGAACAUUUUACCCAAGACAGAGACAGAAAAAUCAACAUGGUUCAAGCGACAAAGGCAGUUAAUCAAUAUAUUUAGAGAAUAAACAUUGUGGGUAACACCGAACAAAUCCAUUUGAUUGCACAAAGAGACAACAGUAGAGUACUGUUUUUUUUUGGCAAAGGAGCCUACGACUUUAACAUAUUCCGCAACAGAAGGCCUAGGAUUCAUGCGGACCAUGCGAUAGAAUGAAGCCAAAGCAUCAUCAAUACUGAUGUUAGUGCUAUUAUUACUAACAAACCCACCAUUGUUUUGAGGCAAAGAAGGUUUCCUAGUACAAGCAGAAGUGGAGAUGUGGUGAUGAUUGAAGAAUAAGAAAGAAGAAGGAAAGAAACCCAUUUCCAUAUGUUGUUGAAGAAUCCGAAAAUCAGAAGCAGUAGCUCUAUAAGCGCUUUUCCGCGUGAACAUCAUCAUUGUUAGGUUAAAAAGCUGCGUUAUCUCUGACUGUUCCUCACCUCCUUCAAAGCCGAUGAUGAAAGCUUUUCCAAUCUACUCUGUGUCUUUCUUAAGCUAUACACUUGUUGCUUUGACUUUCCAUCAUUUCCCCUUGAACAAAACAUAUUGCAAAAAAAUUCUGAGUCCUUAAAUCGUUAUCAUAUAUAUUAAUUUUUUUUUUAAUUAUAAUAAUGUUUAUUUUUUAAAGAAUUUUUUAUUUAAAAAUAUAUUAAAAUAUUAUUUUUAUUUUUAAAUUUUUUUUAAACUUACGAUAUAAAAUUAUUUAAAAAAAUUAAUUUAAAAUUAAAAAAAUUAAAAAUCAAUAUUUUAAAAAAACAAUUUGAAACACAAACCGUUUCUAAAAAAAUGAUCUACGCAUAGAAAAUUUUAUGUUGUGGUUUAUUUGUUAUAUUUUUGUGGUUUAUUUUGAAAAAACAAAUAUAGGUAUAAGAAAAAUAAAAAAAAAAAUUUAUGAUCCACCAAAAACAAUAAAAUAUAUUCUCACUCAUAAUUUAUCUCUUAUACUUGUAUCUUUUUAUUUCUUUUAAGUAGAUUUGAGAGAGUAAUUAAUAAAUACAUACUAAUUACUUUCCACAUUAACAAUGUUAUUUUUUUUUAUUUUGAUUAUCAAACUUUUUUAAUUGCAAUUUCAUCCUCUAAAAUUACAUUACCAGGUUUUUAUAUGUUGAGAUUUCUUUUGAUUUGUAUUUUUUUAUAUAAACAAAAUGUCUAAGGAUAUUCUGAUAAUGAAUUAACACAAAUUAUAUUAAUCUUUUUUAAGCAUUAUAAAACUAAAAAAAAACAUAGAAAAAUAUCAAUCAUUAUUUAAAAAUAAAUGGGACAUUAAUUAAUAUUUAAAUAAAAAUAAUUAAUAUGAAAGAAAAAAAAAGAUUAGACGACGAUGACCUUGGCCUUUCAUAAAAAAGCCUACCCCAGCCUGCCUGGUAGUUUAUUGUUUUUAUCUUAUUUUUGGAGAAAACGUAAUAUUGUAUGCUCUAGUUAUUUUUUUAUUGUAAUAAACAACAAAUCAUCUACUAUGAUAGGUGAUUGUCAACUAUUAAAUAGUUUUUUGAUUACCUCCUAUGAAAAGAAAAUCAGUGUUUAAGUAUUUGGAUUCUAAAAAUUCAUUUUUCUAUUCGUUUUUACCUGAAAACAUCUAAAACAAUCUCACAUGAAAUGCAUUAAACUCGUUCCUAGCUCCAAAACACCCUCUAAUUACUCUAAAAAAAUAAUUAAAUGAAGAAAAAAAUAAUGAACCUUGAUCAACUUUUUUUCGGCAUGGUUAUAGCAAAAAUCACAUUCAUUGAACUUUUUUCAAGAAGACGAAUCUAUUGACACAAAAAUCAAUAUUUUUUGUAGUUGGAAUAUGAUCAUAUGAGUAUUUUCUCUCUUUAAAUUUUUAUCUCUCUCCUAUCUUAACAUAUAGGUAGUGUUUGAUUAUUUUUCCAGGAUAGAAGAGACAUAGGAAAAGAAGAAAGAAAAAAGGACAAAGCGAAUUGUGUUUGACAGUGAUGUACAAGAUAAACCGACUAUAUUUAUAUCAUGUUUGGUUAUGGUGCGCACAAUAUAAUAAAAUAUAAAAAAUUUAUUUUAUUCUUAAUAUGUAUUGUUGUCAAAUUUACAUAUUUUAAAAAAUAAUUAAAUUUUUUUUUACUUUAGUUUAUAUUAAGUGAUGAAAUUGAUAAUAUUAUAAUAAUUCUAGUUACAAAACUAGAACUAAUCUAACAGGUUGACCCGAAAUCACGUCAACCCGAGGUCUAAACUAUCUGAGUUUAAGAAGAAAUAUAUAAAAGAUUGACUCGACCUAACCUGAUCAAAAACUCAGGUCAACCCGAGAUAUAACAUAGGUCAAAAACUUGUUGAAUUUUUUAAAAAUUAUUUUUUAUCGGAACAAGAUUGCUUUGAUUAUUUUUAAAAAAAGAUUGGGUUAACCGAGUUAACCUUCCCAACCUGUAAUCUAAACUUUGCCUUGAGUUAAGUUUUAAAAUUAUGAUAAUAAUUAUUUUUAUUUAUGUAGUAACUCGAAUCAACCCACGAUAACCAUCCGUCCCAUAACUUGGACCUUACCCUGCUCAAUCAUGAGUUGACUUUUAAAACUAUUAUUGUAAUAAUAAUAAUAAUUUUUUUUUUCCUUAUUGCACCUCCAGCUAAGUCUUAAUUGGCCCCGCCUUAUUUGCAAUGCCUUGCUAUUAACACAUGAUGUAUGAUGAGGUAGGUUAGGUGCUAGAUAAGCAUUCCCACCAUCAUGCUUGAGAAACAGUAUAACAUGAUCAAUACCAGAAACAGGCAUCUUGUAUCAGGGUUUGGCUCUUGCUUUCGUUACUUUUUUGAAUCAUUCCUAUGUUAGGAUUAGUUGAGGUCACAAUGUUAGGUGCAAAUUCAAAACUUGGAAUACCUAUUUUAAGAUUAGAAAAUUCAUCAAAUAAUGGAAAACAAGACUGGUUAUUGUAUGCAUUGAAGUUAAAGAUCUUUGUAUUGUGAUAACUCACAAGAGGUACAGCAGCCUGCAAUGUCACUUGAUAGGAAAAUGUCACUUCAUUUUUCUACCUCGAGAGCUUCCACGCAUAAAUCGGCUUAUGAUUUCAUCGUGGGAUUCCAGAUCCAGUAACAUCUGAAAUGUAGUUGAAUCCGCUGAGAAUCCUUUACCAACCAUUUCAUCAAUAAGUCGUACAGCAGUUGAUGAGUCCCGAAUUUGAAGAAACCCUUGAAUGAUAACAUUAUAAGAGCAACUGUCCGGCAUGAAGCCAUCAUCUUCCAUUUUUCUAAAUAAUCUGUAUGCUUCAUCUGAUAGCCCUUCUUUAAGAAGACCCUUGAUCAUGACACUGUAUGUAUGUACAGUAGGUCGUAUUCCAUCGACAAAAAGCUUCGAAAAUAGUUCCUUUGCAACUUCAAGCUUCCCAGCGAUAAACAUGCCUUCAAUAAGAAUGGUAUAAAAGACGAUAUCAGGUUCUAAUUUCUUCUCUUGCAUUGACUUGAGCAGUUUUAAUGCCUCAUCCAAAUGUCCAUGUUUCCAGAAGCCAUCUAGCAAAAUCGAGUACGUCACCAAAUUUGGAAGCAGGCCAGUAGAACACAUCUCCUUGAAAAGAUUUAGAGCUUCCUGAGGUCUCCCUACUUGGCACAGGCCUUGCAUAAGAGUGCUGUAAGUGACAGUAUCAGGAGUCAAUUCUUUUUCAGACAUUUCAGCAAGGAGUGACUUUGCCUCGUCCAUCAUUCUACUCUGGCAAUAUCCAUUGAUCAAGAUGUUGUAACUAUGUACAACAGGUACACAACCCUUGCGAACCAUGAUUUCAAAAACCUUCUUGGCCUCAUUCAUUUGGUGUUGUAAACAGUACCCAUCCAUCAAAGCAUUGUAAGUGUAAAUAUUUGGCUCUACACCUUUUUCAGUCAUUGUUUCAAAGACACACCGAGCUUCUGAAACCAUUCCUUCUUUGCACAGCCCAUCAACCAAAAUAGUGAAGGUCACUGUAUCUGGCAUAACAUCCCUGCCAACCAUUUCUUUGAACAAUCUAGUAGCUUCAUUCAGUUGUCCUAAAUUGCAAAAACCAUGGACUAUGGAGUUGUAAGUAACAACAUUUGGUGGAAUGCCCCGAUCCAACAUUUCAGAUAAGAAUUCCAUGGCGUCAUUUACUAGCCUAUUUUUGCAAAGGUUGUCUAUGAUUGUAUUAUAUGUCACAACAUUUGGCUUGCACCCAUUUUGUUCCAUCUUCUUGAACACGUCAACAGCCAUACUUGUGUUGCCGGUUUUGCACAAACCAUUGAUUACAGUAGUAUAGCUAAUUACAUUGGGCUCAUGCCCUCUCUUUACCAUCUCAUUAAACAACUCUACUGCUUCUUUAAUCUUUCCCUCAUUGCAGAGCCCAUUAAUGAGUGCAUUGAAAGUGAUAGCAUCGGGAUGAAUACCAAGUUUGAACAUCUUGCCCAAGACAGAGACAGAAAAAUCAACAUGGUUCAAGCGACAAAGGCAGUUAAUCAAUAUAUUUAGAGAAUAAACAUUGUGGGUGACUCGAAACAAAUCCAUUUGAUUGCACAAAGAGACAACAGUAGAGUACUGUUUUUUUUUGGCAAAGGAGCCUAAGAAUUUGCCAAACUCCACAGCAGAAGGUCUAGGAUUGAUGCGGACCAUGCGAUAGAAUGAAGCCAAGGCAUCAUCAACACAAACGUUAUUGCUAUUAUUACUAACAAACCCAUCAUUGUUUUUAGGCAAAGAAGGUUUCUUUGUAGAAGUAGAAGUAAGAAAGUGGUGAUGAUUGAAGAAUAAGAAACAAGGGAAAUCAGGAAGAAAAGGAGAGAUACCCAUUUCCAUUUGUUGUUGUUGAAGCUGAAAAGCAGAAGCAGAAGCUCUAAAAGCGCUUUUCCGCAUGAACACCGUCAUUGUUAGGUUAAAAAGAUGCUGUCUCUCUGACUGUUCCUCUCCACCUUCGAAGCCGAAGAUAAAGGCUUUUCCACUCAACCCCGUGACUCGUCCUCAAUUCUGGGUGUCUUGUCUUCCGCUUCGCCUGAACCGUUUAUGAAAGGAACCCAAUGGGCAAUGGACCGUUCUACUCUUAACUAAUCUUCUAAAAAUACUCGAAUUAUUUUAAAAAAUUAAAAAUAUUCUUAAAUUAACAAACAUUUCAACAUUAAACCCUUUAAAAAAAAAAAAAACAAUCAUAUAAAUGCGUAGCCUUUGUAUUCGAUUAAGUCACGUUUAGUAUUUCAUUCCAUAUCAGAUUGGAAUUGGACAAAUUAAUUAUAUAAUAUAAAUUAAUUUUUUUAUACUUUUUUAUAUUUUAAUGUAUUAAUAUUAAGAAUAAUUUUUAAAAAUUUAAAAAAUAUUAUUUGAAUAUAUUUACCAUAAAAACAAUAUUUUAAAAAAUAACUACUGUCAAACUGUUAAUCACUUUUAAAUAAAAUAUAGUUAAUAAUUAAUUUAUCUUUAUUAUGAAUAGAAACGUUUUGAAAAUUAAUUUUUUUUAAAUAAAUUAUUUAAAAUUAUUUUUAUAUGUUUUUGAAUUAUUUUAAUGUGUUGAUAUUAAAAAUAAUUUUAAAAAAUUAAAAAAAAUAUUAUUUUAAUAUAUUAAAAAAAAACUGUUUGCGUAACCGUUUUUACUUCUCAAAGCCUGGGGUAAAUAUCUGUCCAAUUGCUUCAAGUACAGAAACAUUCCAUAGCAAACUGUCAAAAUGUAUAUAUAUGGAUCAAUGCUGUGUUUUUUUAAAAUAUUUUGGGCUUGUGAAAAUAUUAAUUAAUUAAUUUAUUUUUAUUGUUUUUUAAUAUUUUUAAUAAAUUGAUAUUGAAAAUUAAAAAAAAACUGAAAAAAAAUUAUUUUUAUAUAAAAAACUAUUUUAGAAAGUAAUUUGCACUGCAAUCUCAAGUACUUGAAAAAAUGCUGCCGUGGAAUGUGUAACUGGGAAAUAUUUUGUAAGAAACAAGAAGUUCCAAAUCCAUGGAGCAGGGCCAGCCUAAUCAGAAAAUAAAACGCCCAAAAGCCCUUAAAAUCCUAAGAACGGGAGAUCAAUAUUCUUCUAGUCUUUGGAUUUGAAGAAAAAAAGAAACAACUUUACUCUGUUCUUGCACCGAAACCCUCAGCUAACAGAAUUUCCUUAAAAGUAAACACUGAAACACCUCAGAAAGAACAUGAAAUUUACAGACACAUUUCAAAGUAGCAUGUUGGGUUUGGGAAAUCGAUAAAAGAACAUGACAUUCUAUGUAGAGCAGAAGUUAUGAAAUAAACUUUAAAAUCAAGGGAAAAUAGUUUUAUCCAGUCAGUUCUCAAUCAUCACUCCACAUUUCCCAAACUAUGCUCUGUUUAUAUAAUAAGCUGGGAUGACGAUAUAGCUAUAUGAUGCCUAAAAUAGUGCUGCUCCCUGUCAAAUACAUCAGGGAUUGGCUCAAAUAAUGCCAGCUGCUUUAAAGCUGAAACUCUAUGCGAAUAAGCAGUUUUAAUUUUUCUGUGAUACCAACUUUAAGUUUUUGAAGAAUGGUUACCUUCUCAAUGUUCUGCAAUCCAAUUGAUGAGAAUCAAAGAAGGGAACCAGCAACUUCAAAUUGAGGGAAUACAACUAUUUAUCAGAUUUCACGGUUUAAGUUUUAGGAUUAAGAUAAUAUUUAACUCAAGAUUAAAGAUAUAAUCUUCUUUGAAGGCUCGAAAGCUGCUGCAUACAAUUUGGCAUUAAUCAAAGGAACGACAAGAUGUUCUAAUGGCAAGAAUCCUUCUUAAAUCUCCUCACCUCAUUUUCUGCAGAAUUGCAGUUUAAUCCUGAUCGAGCAAAUGAAUAAUGUACCUGGUCAAUACUGUACAAACACUUCAUUUAGCCAAGAAGAAUAGAACAACAGCAAAGCUUAAAGGAGUUGAGCAAGCCUUGUUACACGAUGGGUGGAGAGACAAGUCUCCUUGUACAGCAACAAGAAGAAUUAAUUGAGACUGAGAAAUGAGAAGCAGCACGCAGGACUUUUUGCGAGUGUAUACCAUAAAGACAAGCAGCCAUCCACUUAAAACAACCUGUCUGCAGACUCUGGAAAUCAAAACCUGAAUCAAACAAUUCGAGUACCAUGCAAAUGACCACUUGAAAUGCAUAAAACAACCUCAGCUUGUGCUACUGCUUCUGUAGAGUCCUCUUUCCAAGAAAACCGUUAAAACUGUAGAUUUUCAUGAUGAUGGCAACCGAGGUAUCCUCCACCAUUUCCGCAUGUGUUCUAAAAUUGUAGAUUCUCGGGAUAGAUUAGACUCUACCAACCAGUUCUCUCUACAGAUAGACUGCCAGCCUUGUCAACAGCACAUUCAGAUCAGCUCCAAGAGAACCUGCUGUAACUUGGAUAAAAGAAUAAGAUGAAGAGAACCCUCGAGUUCACUUUUUUGAAUCAUUCCUUUGCUAGGAUUAGUAGAGGUCACAAUGUUAGUAGCAAAUUCAAAACUUGAAAUGCCUAUUUCAAGUUACAAAAUUCAUCGCAUAAAGGAAAACAAGACUGGUUACUGUACACUCUGUACUUUAUACACAGAUUCAAGUCAAUGCACAAUGCAAGGUGAGCUCUAGUGCCAAAAACAGAUCCCUAGAAGUCACCCUGGAUGUUACAAACAAUUCAAUAGAGUUAAGGAACUGAGUACUGUGAUACCUAACAAGUGGUUAAGCAGCCUACAACGUCACUUGAUAGGGAAAUGUCACUUCAUUUUUCUAUCGACAGCUUCCACGCAUAAAUCGACUUAUGAUUUUAUCAUGAGAUUCCAGAUCCAGUAACAUCUGAAAUGUAGACGAAUCUGCCGAGAAUCUCCUACCAACCAUUUCAUCAAUAAGUCGUAUAGCAGUUGAUGAGUCCUGAUUUUGAAGAAAUCCUUGAAUGAUAACAUUAUAUGAGCAACUGUCCGGCAAGAAGCCAUCAUCUUCCAUUUUUCUAAAUAAAUCGUAUGCUUCAUCUGACAGCCCUUCUUUCAGCAGUCCCUUGAUCAUGACAGUGUAUGUCCGUAUAGUAGGCCGUAUUCCAUCAGCAAAAAGCUUGGAAAAUAGUUCCUUUGCAACUUCAAGCUUCCCAGCGAUAAACAUGCCUUCAAUAAGAAUAGUAUAAAGGACGAUGUUAGGCUCUAGUUUCUUCUCUUGCAUUGACUUGAGCAGUUUUAAUGCCUCAUCCAAAUGCCCAUGUUUGCAGAAGCCAUCUAGUAAAAUCGAGUAAGUCACCAAAUUUGGAAGCAGGCCAUAAGAACACAUCUCCUUGAAAAGAUUUAGAGCGUCCUUAAGUCUCCCAAAUUGGCACAGACCUUGCAUAAGAGUGUUGUAGGUGACAGUAUCAGGUGUCAAUGCUUUAUGAUACAUCUCAGCAAGGAGUGAUUUUGCCUCAGCCAUCCUUCUACUUUUGCAAAAUCCAUUGAUCAAGAUGUUGUAACUCUGUACAUCAGGUGCACAACCCUUGCGAACCAUGAUUUCAAACACCUUCUUGGCCUCAUUCAUUUGGCGCUGUAAACAGUACCCAUCAAUCAAAGCAUUGUAAGUGUAAAUAUUUGGCUCUACACCUUUUUCAGGCAUUGUUUCAAAGACACGUUGAGCUUCUGAAACCAUUCCUUCUUUGCACAGCCCAUCAACCAAAAUAGUGAAGGUCACUGUAUCUGGCAUAACAUCCCUACCAACCAUUUCUUUUAACAAUCUAGUAGCUUCAUUCAGUUGUCCUAAAUUGCAAAAACCAUGGACUAUGGAGCUGUAAGUAAUAACAUUUGGUGGAAUGCCCCUCUCCACCAUUUCAGAUAAGAAUUUCAUGGCAUCAUUAACUAGCCUAUCUUUGCAAAGGCUGUCUAUGAUUGUACUAUAUGUCACCACAUCUGGUUUACACCCAUGUUGUUCCAUCUUCUUGAACACGUCAACAGCCAUACUUGUGUUGCCAGUUUUGCACAAACCAUUGAUUAUAGUAUUAUAGCUAAUUACAUCGGGCUCAUGCCCUUGCCGUACCAUCUCAUUAAACAACUCUUCUGCCUCUUUAAUCUUUCCCUCCAUACAGAGCCCAUUGAGUAGAGUAGUGAAUGUGAUAACAUCAGGCUGAAUACCCAGUUUGAACAUUUUACCCAAGACAGAGACAGCAAAAUCAACAUGGUUCGAGCGACAAAGGCAGUUAAUCAAUAUAGUUAGAGAAUAAACAGUGUGGGUAACACCGAACAAAUCCAUUUGAUUGCACAGAGAGACAACAGUAGAAUACUGUUUCUUUUUGGCAAAGGACCCUAAGAAUUUGCCAAAUUCCACAACAGAAGGCCUAGGAUUCACGCGGACCAUGCGACAGAAUGAAGCCAAGGCAUCAUCAAUACUAAUGUUAUUGCUAAUAUCACUAACAACCCCACCACUUUUUUUAGGCAAAGAAGGUUUCUUAGUACAAGAAGAAGUUGCGAAGUGGUGGUGAUUGAAGAAUAAGAAUGGGAAAUCAGGACGAAAAGGAAAGAUACCCAUUUCCAUAAGUUGUUGUUGAAGCUGAAAAGCAGGAGCAGAAGAAGCAGUAGCUCUAAAAGCGCUUUUCCGCAUGAACAUCAUCAUUGUUAGGUUAAGAAGAUGCUGUCUGUCUUACUGUUCCUCUCCUCCUUCGAAACCGAAGAUGAAAGCUUUUCCACUCAACUCCGUAUCUCUCUCUCAAUUCUGGGUGUCUUGCCUUCUUGGGUUCAGCUUCGCCAGAACCAUUUAUGAAAGGAACCCAAAGGGCAAUGGACCAUUUUACUUUUUAUUUGAAGCCCAAAACGUUAUACACUUGUUGUCUUUCACUUUAUAUCAUUUCACCCUUGGUAUGUACUAUGUACAUGAACAUACGAGAAACUUUGGCUCUUGCUUUCAUCACUUUACCUGAUGCAUCUUAGCAGCCAAGCCAUAACCAGACAGGGUUACAAAGAAAGUAGCUCUAUGAUCAUCUCCAAGCAUGCCAAUCCAUGAUGUUUUAAAAGUAAGACAGGCUUCUAGUAGAAAACUUGGCAUCUCUAUAUCAUAAAAAUGGGAGAAUCUGUAGAAGAAUCCUUCACAUCUCCACUGGUAUUGCCUCACAAAACUGAAGUUACGCAGUUCACAGUUGUAGUGCAUUGAUCAUAAAAUCAGAACUGUUAAAACUAUCUUCCAUCAAUAAUACUGUCUCUUUUUUGCUUCCAACAUCCAUCUUGCUUUGUAGUCUUAAUCAACGACUUAGAAAUUAGAAAACUGUCAUCAUGUAUAAGCGAGAUCAGCUGAAACAGUAUCAUAGGUUUCGAGCCUCAGGGAGGCACAAAGAACAAAGAAUCCUGCAACGUAAGUGAAUUUAACUACUUGGAAAAGACUUACACUCUUCAUCUAGCACCAACGCAAUUUCCAAAGGAAUAUUGAAGUUGGCAGAUUCAAGCAAACUAACGAAGAGAGACAUAAUGUAGUUCGGAUUCACAAGAUUAGACUGUGUCCCUCUUGCACGUCCAUCUGUCCUCAUAAAAGACUCCAUUCCUCCUUGCACUACUCUAAAACAGCCAAUUUAUUUCUACAUAGAUUUUGUACAGUGGAAAAUUACCAAGAAAAGCAAGAAUACAAGGGCAAAACAUGCCAUUAACUCCAAAUUCGUUAUUGGACAAAUAGUAGAGCAUAAACUCUACUAAGUAGUGUAGAAGUGGAAACCUCUAAAAAACUUUUAUCCCACUUGAAAAAAAAAACAAGAUUUUAAUAAUGGUUAUAAAAUAGAUAGUUGAAAAGUUAAAUUUUAAAAGACUGCAAGAUGAGUUUUGAGCUUAAUCUACAUUCAGACUUGCUCCACUCGAGCUCGGGUUUCAGGUAUGAGUUUGGUUUUAUUGUAAAAUAAUUUUUGAUCAACCUAAUAUAAUUCUAUGCUUCUGUUAAACUGUUAAACUGUAGAUUCACAUGAUGAUGGCAACCGAGGUAUCCUUCACCAUUUCUGCACGUGUUCUGAAACUGUAGAUUCUCUGGAUAGAUGAGACUCUGCUAACCAAUUGUCUCUACAGCAAGAUUGCCAGCUUUAUCAACAACACCUUCAGAUCAGCUCCAAGAAAACCUGUUGUAACUUGGAUAAUAAAACAAGGUUAAGAGAACCCUCGAGUUCACUUUUUUGAAGCAUCCCUUUGUUAGGAUUAGUAGAGCUCACGAUGUUAGGUGCAAAUUCCAAACAAGAAAUACCUACUUCAAGUUAAAAAAUUCAUCGCAUAAAGGAAAAGAAGACUGCUUAUUGUAUACUUUGUACUUUAUACACAUAGAUUCAAGUCAACACAAUGCAAGGUGAGAUCCAGUGCCAAAACAGAUCACAGGAAGUCACCCUAGAUGUUACAGAUCAUUCAUUAAAGUUAAAGAACAGAGUAUCGUUAGAACUCACAAGAGGCUCAUCAGCCUACAACGUCACUUGAUAGGAAAAUGUCACUUUAUUUUUCUACCUUGAGAGCUUCCACGCAUAAAUUGGCUUAUGAUUUCAUCUUGAGAUUCCAAAUCCAAUAACAUCUGAACUGUAGACGAAUCCGCCGAGAAUCUUUUACCAACCAUUUCAUCAAUAAGUCGUAUAGCAGUUGAUGAGUCCUGAUUUUGAAGAAAUCCUUGAAUGAUAACAUUAUAUGAGCAACUGUCUGGCAAGAAGCCAUCAUCUUCCAUUUUUCUAAAUAAAUCGUAUGCUUCAUCUGACAGCCCUGCUUUCAGCAGUCCCUUGAUCAUGACAGUGUAUGUCCGUAUAGUAGGCCGUAUUCCAUCAGCAAAAAGCUUGGAAAACAGUUCCUUCGCAACUUCAAGCUUCCCAGCGAUAAUCAUGCCUUCAAUAAGAAUAGUACAAAGGACGAUAUCAGGUUCUAAUUUCUUCUCUUGCAUUGACUUGAGCAGUUUUAAUGCCUCAUCCAAAUAUCCAUGUUUGCAGAAGCCAUCUAGCAAAAUCGAGUAAGUCAUCAUAUCUGGAAGCAGGCCAGAAGAACACAUCUCAUUGAAAAGAUUGAGAGCUUCCUUAGGUCUUCCUAAUUGGCACAGUCCUUGCAUAAGAGUGCUGUAGGUGACAGUAUCAGGAUUCAAUGCUUUAUGAUACAUUUCAGCAAGGAGUGAUUUUGCCUCAUCCAUCCUUCUACUUUUGCAAUAUCCAUUGAUCAAGAUGUUGUAACUAUGUACAUCAGGUGCACAACCUUCGUGAAUCAUGAUUUCA